AAAAACUCAAUAUAACUGGCAUCUGCAACCAAUACACGGUUGCCAGCUGCCUUACCAUGUCGCUAUUUUUAAAAAAAUCACCACUAGUGUGAAUAAAGAAGAGCGUAAUAAGUCAGGGAGUCAGUGAGAUGCUCCUUUCAGCUGCUAACCAGAGACAAAGCCAUGCUAACGGCUGGACACACCUUUUUCUACCGGCUGCUAGCUACCGCUAACCUAGCGUUAGCAACCUGCUAACGGUGCUGCCAUAGGCCUGCUGUACAACCACCUGGACGUUGUCCAAGAUGAAGUCAAAAGCCAUGCUCCACACAGACUCCACCGACUGCUGCAUGAUUCUGCAGGAAAAAAUCAACAGAGGACAUGGGGGAGAGGAGGAUGUUAGCCAGGCUGUCAUCAGUCUUGGAGAAACACCUUUCAUCCCCUGUUUGAAACUGGGAGAUUUAAGCAGUUCCUUCAGCAACACACUGCAACACCCACAGGAUACCCUAGAAGAUGUGUUUGAUGCUAUCUUUGGGGGCACUUGAAGGCCAUGGUGUAUCAGGUGAAGAUACGAGACAUAAAUCAUCUCCAGGAACGUAUCACCAACGCCAUUACAAGCAGAACUUCAACUGUGCUGAUACAAGUUCAUCACCAGUGGAGAACAUGUAUUAAUAUGUGUUUUGGAAACAAUUGUUGUAACUGUCCAAAAGACUGUAAUUUUGAAUUUCUCAUUUCAAGUUGGUUGUUGUUUUUUUUGUGGUUAUUUUAUAGAUGUUUAGAUUUGUAUGAUUGUUGUGACUGAUUGAAAAUGCAAUGAAUGGCAUGUUGUGAACGGUGAUUGUACACCUUUUGCAACAUGUCUUCAUUUAUGAACAGCAGAAAAUAUUGUUUCCUUGUCUGACAAAAAUCCAAAAAUUCAGCAAAAAAAUUCCACAAAUUUCUGAAAAUUUGCAAAAAUUCAGGAAGAAAAUUCCAAUAAUUCCUUAAAAGUUUCCCUUAAAAGUCCUAUUUAAAAAAAAAAAAAAAAGCCCCCAAAUUUGGCAAGAAAAUUCUUGUAAAUAUUUUCAAAAAAUGAAUAAAAAUCUUCAAAAAAAAAAAACCCUAAAAAUAUCUAAAAUGAUUCCAUAUAUAUCAGUAAAACUUCUAAUAUAUUCUUUAAGAACAUUCACAUAAAAAUCAACCAAAAUGCAGCGACAUUCACUGGAUUUUGGUUGAUUUUUGUGUGAAUGUUCUUAAGAAACAUUUAAAAAAAAAAUUUUUUCCACCAAAAAAUGUUCAAAGAUUUCAUAAAAAUGUUGAAAAUGUGGACAUCAGAAGUUUCACUGUGAAAAUAUAGAUAUUUUCCACAUUUUCAAACUUUAAAACGGGUCAGUUUUGACCCGCAGGACGACACGAGUGUUAAUAAAUGAUUGUUUCCAUAAUAAAUAAGUAUGGAAUUUGUAAAGACAUGAUCAUAAUGAACAUAAAAACAUUAUAUUUUUUAACUUUUAAUAAAAAUGUAUGCAGAUAUAUCCCAUGGACUUCAAAAGUCCCUCAGUUAUAGACUGACCCAGAUGAUCCUGAUCCUAUCCAACUCUCAUUGCAUUUGUCUGGUUUGUUUCACUUUAUAUCAUUCUGAAGCUGCACAAUUUUAUACAGUCAUCAUCUGCUGAACUUGCACUUUCCAGUUUUACACAUCUACAAGGUUUAACUUACAAUCUACACAGUACAUCCUAUUUAAAUCUUAAAAACAUUCUUGUCUUUGGUGUCAUCUGUGCAGCAUAAGAAACACUAAAUGUGUGUCGUGCAACAUGCGUGCACGUGUACGUCUCCUCUUCCAUGCAUGACUCACUGAGGUCAGUGUCUGAGUGGUUAGAGUCUAAGAGCCUGCGGAUGGAAAAUACUGUGUGUGUGUGUGAAAACUGUCUGAUUAUUUCAACCACAAGGCAGAUACGAGGCCGCAGGCACUGCAUGAAAAACAUAAUCUCAGACAAGUCGGUAUUUUAGCUGCCUGUGGCGGUGCACGGGCAAAAAGAAAAAAAGAAAAACGCUGAGUCCUCCAUCGGUUUAGACUUACAUGGCCCCAUUAGUGUGAAUGUUAUCAUGUGCAAAAUGCGUUAACACAUCCGUACCCACUCUGCUCUGGUGCAAUACCCAGAUGAGUGAAACCCCUCAGGGCCAAACAAAACCACAACCCAUCAUAACACCUGCACCAAGCAGCGUGCAAGCCAGCUACGCCAGUAAACACCUGUUACAUUCUUCAAGUAUCUGCAAUUGCUGGAGUAAUGCUCAAUUUCAAGGUUAUCUGCAGCACUUCCAUCUGUGCUGAGCGCUUUAAAAUGCAUGGUUUAAUCUUUAUGAAGGCAGCAGAAUAAAAUAUACAACUAUGUUGCCAAUACAAUAUGAAUUAAUACAAAAAUAAUUCUCAUAUUUCUUAAUCUAGCUGCAAUUAUUCUACAAAAAAAAUCAUGAAAUUCCUGAGGAUAUUUUAAGUGCAAAGAGGCGACUUAAACAUCCACAAAAUUUGAUGCAACUACAACACCAGAAAGCCUUAAAGUCAGAUCACAAAAUUUAAAAGAAAGACCCUAAAAUCAAAUCACAAAAAAGCCUAAAAACUAAACCAUUGCAACUUUGACACAUCAAAGUCAAACUAAAGCCUAAAAUUUCUAAUCAAUUUUAAAAGAGAAUGAGGGAAAAAAAACAGUGAAAAUAGAGCUUAAAAUGAAAUCACAAAUAAUUUGGGAAUAAAGGCGAAAAAAAGAUUUUUAAAAAGCCUGAAAUCAAAUCAGAAAAUUUCGGAAAAAAGAAAAAAAAUGUAAAAAUGUAUAAAAUACAAUCAGCAAAUUUAAUAAAAGAGAGGGAAAAGGAGCCUAAAAUAAAACCACAAAAAUUGAAAAAAGACAGAAAAAAAGAAAAAAAAAGCCUGAAAUCAAAUCACUUUUUUCGAAUGUGGGAAAAAGAGCCUAAUAUUAAAUCACAAAAAUUGGAAAAAGAAAAAGGAUAAAAGCCUAAAAUAAAAUCACAAAAUUUAAUAAAAGAUAGAGUUAAAAGGAGCCUAAAAUAAAACCACAAAAAUUGAAAAAAGACAGAAAAAAAAGAAUAAAAAGCCUAAAAAUCAUGUUGCUUUUUUUUUUUGGAAUGAGGGAAAAAGAGCCUAAAAUAAAAUCACAAAAUUUAAUAAAAUAUAGAGGGAAAAGGAGCCUAAAAUCAAACCACAAAAAUAGAAAAAAAGACAGAAAAAAGAGGGAAAAAAGCCUUAAAACUAAAUCACAAAAUCCCUGAAGAUACUUUUAGCAGAAAUAGACUUCAAACAUACACAGAUCCAAUGCAGCUAUAACACCAGGAAGCCAAACUACUCCUAGAAGCAUCAGAUCCACAUGGAGGUACCUGAACGUUUCUCUAACUCGGCUAGAAGCCACUCAGUGCUCCUCACCUGAGAAUAUGCGCAUCGGAGCAGAAAGCAGACAAUGGAAAGUUUCCCUUUGCCACCGAGGACAGUAGGCAUGGUUCCUGCUGCUCACAGCGCUCCUCCGGUGUCCAUGCCAGGGAGGACACGCGUCAGUGGAUGCGCCGUGACGCUGGCAUCGGUCCGUGGAUCCUCCGCCGUGGAUCCUCCUCAGAGUGUGUGUCACCGAGGCGUACGGAGGGAGAUGUAGGCGGGCCGGGCACGUCACGGAUGACACGCACAGCUCACGCAGGGAGAUCACGACUCCGCCGGGCCCCGUGGAUGUGGAACCAUGGUGCUGCUGCUGCUGCUGCUGCUGCUGUGAGUUUGAAAUGCGUUAAUUCCGACGUGUUGGUCGCAAAGAGCUGCUAAAAAUAGAGAUGUGAUCAGUUUUAUGAUCCAGUCCAGCAGGGGGACGAUGAGGGACCCGAAACUGCAUUCACGGAUCUUUGGUCACUGAGGGCAGAAAGCUGGAAGCACAACAUGUGACACAGGGGCAAUAUAUAAUUCAGGGACUUUUGUAGUCCAUAGGAUACGUCUUACAUGCAUUUUUAUUAGAAAUAUUUUUAAAAAAAAGUUUUUUAUGUUCAUUAUGUAUGGAAUCACAGGAGUGCCAUAAUAAAAGAUAAAUCUGUUAAAAAAGUAAGGAAAUAAAAAUAAAUCUUAAAAAUAUAAGGAAGAAGAAUAAAAGAAUAAAUCUUAAAAAAAUAAGGAAAUAAAUGUGUAAAUAUAAAGAGGAAUAAAUAAAAAUAAAUAAAUCUAAAAAUAUAAGGAAGAAGAAUAAAUUACAGAAUAAAUCUGUUAAAAAAAUAAGGAAAUAAAAGUGUAACUAUAACGAGGAAUAAAUACAAAUAUAUAAAUCUGCUAAAAAUAUAAGGGAGAAGAAUAAAUAAAAAAUAAAUCUGUUAAAAAAUUAAGGAAAUAAAUGUGUAAAUAUAAAGAGUAAUAAAUAAAAAUAAAUAAAUCUAAAAAUAUAAGGAAGAAGAAUAAAUAGAAGAAUAAAUCUGUUAAAAAAUAAGGAAAUAAAUGUGUAAAUAUAAAGAAGAAUAAAUACAAAUAUAUAAAUCUGCUCAAAAUAUAAGGAAGAAGAAUAAAUAAAAAAUAAAUCUGUUAAAAAAAUAACGAAAUAAAUGUGUAAAUAUAAAGAGGAAUAAAUAAAAAUAAAUAAAUCUGCUAAAAAUAUAAGGAAGAAGAAUAAAUAAAAGAAUAAAUCGGUUAAAAAAUAAGGAAAGAAAUGUGUAAAUAUAAAGAGGAAUAAAUAAAAAUAAAUAAAUCUGCUAAAAAAUAAGGAAGAAGAAUAAAUAAGAGAUUAAAUCUGUUUAAAAAAUAAGGAAAUAAAUGUGUAAAUAUGAAGAGGAAUUAAAAAACUAAUAAAAAAAUAAAUAUGUCUUAUUUCCCAGGAAACUUCCACAAAUCGAGUAUUCUUGAAUCCAGAGUCACUCUGUUUACUUUUAUGCGAUUUUACAGCAAAUCACAACAUCAAACUUUAGCUGCAAAGGUGAAUUCAAAAUAGGGUUUUUAUUUCACCCAAAAACUGACCAAGUUAAAACCACCAAUACUAAAUUUGGGCCCAUAAAAGAGGUCGAAAUGAAAACACUGAACAAUAGGAAGUAUAUAUACUAGCUGAUCAGAUCAGUUACACACAACGGGGAAACAUAAAACACCAACACCUAAACUAACAACAAAAAGCACAAAGCAGCACAGUCAGUCUAUUUAAUCAAAAGAAUAAUAAUGAACAAACCCAGAAUAUAUCCAAUUACCCAUCAGAAUUCAAAUUAAUGAAGUAAUAUUAUAAUCAAAUGAACCCAGUCCACCCCUUGAAGUGGCAGGUACUUGGUUUGGUCUGAGGGGCAGAUCUGGUAUAAAGGCCUGGAGCUCCCAUAGUGCAGGCUUUUGCCUGAAGCCAGUUAGAUGACCCCAGCAGCAGAACACCAGCACUGGUAAGACAAAGAAACCAUUAGUACAACUUAAAACAAUGCUGAACAUACAAAAGUUAACUAAAUGUGCACUACAAAUAGCCCUUAAGUACUUCAAACAAAGGCUAAAUCACUCACAGCGGCUCGGCACUCUCUUAUGAAGUGCUUGGAGAUGAUGGAACACAUCCAGAGAAGCUUCUCUGUAGAUCUAGACAGACAUCAGUUCAGGUACCGGACAAAAAGAACGCUGUUGCACUUCAUACAGCCCUAACUCACCUGGAGCAGCCGGAUACCUACGUUAGGAUGCAACACUGUGUCUUCAACACUGUAAUCCCCCAUAAACUGAUCCACAAACUCACCAACCUUGGACUCUCCACCACACUUUGCUCAUGGAUUAUGGACUUUCUGACCAACGGGCCUCAGAAUGUCAGGAUGGGGAACCUGACAUCCAGCACCAUAACCAUGAACACCACAGGGAUGUGUUCUUAGUCCGGCACUCUUCACCCUCUUCACCAUGGACUGUGUCCCACCCACUCCUCCAACACCCUGACAAAGUUUGCCAACGAUACUACGAUGGUAGACCUUAUCAGGGACGACAACGAGACCUGGUCCAGGCAGGAGGUCCAGCAUCUGGUAGGGUGGUGUGCAGACAACGACCUGGUUCUCAACACCACCAAGACAAAGGAAGUCAUCAUAGACUUCAGGAGGACCAGGAGAGCCGUACAGUCCCCACUCCAUAUCAGAGGAGAAGAGAUAGAGAGGGUGGACUCCAAGGAUCUGACAUGGACACUAAACACCUCCAAACUGGUGGAAAAAAAGCCCAGCAGAGGAUGUUCUUCCUGAGGAAGUUGAAGCAGGCUGGUCUGGACCAUAAACAUGUUAAUGUGCAAUAAUCAUCUCAACCUAAGCAUUUUUUUUAAAAACUUCAGACACUUGAAAGCAGAUAUUGCACCUCAUUGCAUUGUUACCACUGUUAUCAUUAGUGUGUUUGUGUUUUUGUAUGUGUGAUAUUAGUGCUAAGAAUUCUAACUAGAGUGGUAACUGGGGUUUACCAGCAUUCAUGAUUGAUGAUGGCUGCUAGUGUGGUCAUCACAAGACAUCAUAAAGAUCUCACAUUCAAGGAAUUAAAAAUGACCACAAUAUACUGAAUGGCUAGCAUCAUCAGAAAUCUUGUUUUUGACCACACAAUGCAUAAAUUCAACAUUCACAUUCUUUUUUAUCUUUGUUUUUGUCUCCAGUAGUUCCUCUAUAGCUGCUAAAUGCACCACAGCCUAAACCAGCUAACUGGUCAGGUGGUGCACAUCACAUUUUUAAGGCUUUUUGAUGAAAACAACUUCCAGACUGAAAGUGAUGUGCUGUGAUUAGAGAAAACAUCAUUAGAGCUGCUUUAAACAGACGGCAGCUUUUACUGAGAUGCAUGAUGGGAACUGCCUCUUCAGAGAAUCAUUACUUUUUCUUACAACCUUCUGAGUGGCAUAAAACACCACUAAUAUUUGUCCUGCAAGUUGGCCACACUUUAAUCAGCAAGUACAAUAUGAUAUUGGCGACAAAAAAUUCUUUUAUGCAAAUAUUGGUAAACAGGGUUGCAUCAGUCUUUUUUUUCCAGACUUUUCAAAUGUCAUACACUCAAAGGGGCCUUUCUCACAUUUACUUAUGAUACCUGAAGUAAAUAAAUGGAUAUGCAACACUUUCA